CAGAAUGUAGCUUAAUAGAAAAGUAUCUCCCUUACACUGAGAUGAAAUCUGCGCAAUUCAGAUCAUUUUGA
rnacentral:tRNA from 1 species